rnacentral:tRNA from 1 species
AUUACUUUGGCAGAUUAGUGCAUUAGAUUUAGAAUCUAAACAAGGGUGUGUAACUCAAGUAAUA